rnacentral:rRNA from 1 species
GACGAAGGAUGCAAGCGUUAUCCGGAUUCAUUGGGUUUAAAGGGUGCGUAGGCGGUCUUGUAAGUCAGUGGUGAAAGCUCUCCGCUUAACGGAGAAACUGCCAUUGAUACUGCAAGACUUGAGUACAGAUGAUGUUGGCGGAAUAUGACAUGUAGCGGUGAAAUGCAUAGAUAUGUCAUAGAACACCGAUUGCGAAGGCAGCUGACAAAACUGUAACUGACGCUGAGGCACGAAAGUGUGGGGAUCAAACAGG